rnacentral:rRNA from 1 species
UACGUAGGUGGCAAGCGUUAUCCGGAUUUAUUGGGCGUAAAGGGAACGCAGGCGGUCUUUUAAGUCUGAUGUGAAAGCCUUCGGCUUAACCGGAGUAGUGCAUUGGAAACUGGGAGACUUGAGUGCAGAAGAGGAGAGUGGAACUCCAUGUGUAGCGGUGAAAUGCGUAGAUAUAUGGAAGAACACCAGUGGCGAAAGCGGCUCUCUGGUCUGUAACUGACGCUGAGGUUCGAAAGCGGGGGUAGCAAACAGG